GCAGGGGCGGGGCUUUGCGGACGCAAGCACGUCGAAGCGCUGCUCCUGGAGCCGCGGAGGCUGCGGGUUUGGCUGCGGCGGUUUCUGUGGCGGUUGCUGUGGCGGAGUUUGGAGGUUGGAGAGAAAUCCAGGUACUCACUAGACUGGUACCUUCUGCCACCAUGGGGGAGCUUUUCCGGAGUGAAGAAAUGACACUGGCCCAGCUUUUUCUACAGUCAGAAGCUGCUUAUUGUUGUGUCAGUGAAUUAGGAGAACUUGGAAAGGUUCAGUUUCGUGACUUAAAUCCAGAUGUGAAUGUUUUCCAACGGAAAUUUGUGAAUGAAGUUAGAAGAUGUGAAGAAAUGGAUCGAAAGCUUCGAUUUGUUGAGAAAGAGAUAAGAAAAGCUAACAUUCCGAUUAUGGACACCGGUGAAAACCCAGAGGUUCCCUUCCCCCGGGACAUGAUUGACUUAGAGGCCAAUUUUGAGAAGAUUGAAAAUGAACUGAAGGAAAUCAACACAAACCAGGAAGCUCUGAAGAGAAACUUCCUGGAACUGACCGAAUUAAAAUUUAUACUUCGCAAAACUCAGCAAUUUUUUGAUGAGGCUGAAUUGCAUCAUCAGCAGAUGGCGGAUCCAGACUUGUUGGAAGAGUCCUCAUCCCUCUUGGAGCCAAGUGAGAUGGGAAGAGGCACGCCUUUAAGACUUGGCUUCGUGGCUGGUGUCAUUAACCGGGAGCGCAUCCCUACUUUUGAGCGCAUGCUUUGGCGGGUAUGCCGGGGAAAUGUGUUCCUGCGACAGGCUGAAAUCGAGAACCCCCUGGAGGAUCCUGUGACUGGCGACUACGUGCACAAGUCUGUGUUUAUCAUUUUCUUCCAAGGCGAUCAGCUGAAAAACAGAGUCAAGAAAAUCUGUGAAGGGUUCCGAGCCUCACUCUAUCCCUGUCCUGAGACACCACAGGAGAGGAAGGAAAUGGCUUCUGGAGUGAAUACCAGGAUUGAUGAUCUCCAAAUGGUUCUGAAUCAAACGGAGGAUCACCGCCAGAGGGUUCUGCAGGCAGCUGCUAAGAACAUCCGUGUCUGGUUCAUCAAAGUGCGGAAGAUGAAGGCCAUCUAUCACACCCUGAACCUGUGCAACAUAGAUGUGACUCAGAAAUGCUUGAUUGCAGAGGUCUGGUGCCCUGUCACCGACCUUGACUCCAUCCAGUUUGCACUCAGAAGGGGCACGGAACACAGUGGUUCCACUGUACCUUCCAUUUUGAACAGGAUGCAGACAAACCAGACUCCCCCAACCUAUAACAAAACCAACAAGUUUACCUAUGGCUUUCAGAACAUAGUAGAUGCUUAUGGAAUUGGAACUUACCGAGAGAUAAAUCCAGCUCCGUAUACUAUUAUCACGUUCCCUUUUCUAUUUGCUGUGAUGUUUGGAGACUUUGGUCAUGGCAUUUUAAUGACCCUUUUUGCUGUGUGGAUGGUACUGAGGGAGAGCCGGAUCCUUUCCCAGAAGAAUGAGAAUGAGAUGUUUAGCACUGUGUUCAGUGGUCGAUACAUUAUUUUAUUGAUGGGUGUGUUCUCCAUGUACACUGGCCUCAUCUACAAUGAUUGCUUUUCCAAGUCUCUUAAUAUCUUUGGGUCAUCCUGGAGUGUACGGCCGAUGUUUACUUAUAAUUGGACUGAAGAGACGCUUCGGGGGAACCCUGUUCUACAGCUGAACCCAGCCCUCCCUGGAGUGUUUGGUGGACCGUACCCUUUUGGCAUUGAUCCAAUUUGGAACAUUGCUACCAAUAAACUGACCUUCUUGAACUCCUUUAAGAUGAAGAUGUCUGUUAUCCUUGGUAUCAUCCAUAUGCUGUUUGGAGUCAGCCUGAGUCUGUUCAACCAUAUCUAUUUCAAGAAGCCCCUGAAUAUCUACUUUGGAUUUAUUCCUGAAAUAAUCUUCAUGACCUCUUUGUUUGGCUAUUUGGUUAUCCUUAUUUUUUACAAGUGGACGGCCUAUGAUGCUCAUACCUCUGAGAAUGCACCAAGCCUUCUGAUCCAUUUCAUAAACAUGUUCCUCUUUUCCUACCCAGAGUCUGGUUAUUCAAUGUUGUAUUCUGGACAGAAAGGAAUUCAGUGUUUCCUGGUAGUGGUUGCACUACUGUGUGUACCUUGGAUGCUGCUGUUUAAACCAUUGGUCCUUCGCCAUCAGUAUUUGAGGAGAAAGCAUUUGGGAACUCUCAACUUUGGUGGGAUCAGGGUGGGCAACGGACCGACAGAGGAGGAUGCUGAGAUUAUUCAGCAUGACCAGCUCUCCACCCACUCAGAGGACGCAGACGAGUUCGACUUUGGGGACACCAUGGUCCACCAGGCCAUCCACACCAUCGAGUACUGCCUGGGCUGCAUCUCCAACACUGCCUCCUACUUGCGGCUCUGGGCCCUCAGCCUUGCUCAUGCGCAGCUGUCUGAGGUGCUUUGGACCAUGGUGAUCCACAUCGGCCUGAGCGUGAAGAGCUUGGCGGGAGGUUUGGUGCUGUUCUUCUUCUUCACUGCCUUUGCCACCCUGACCGUGGCCAUCCUCCUGAUCAUGGAGGGCCUCUCGGCCUUUCUCCACGCACUGCGCUUACACUGGUGAGGGGCAGUGGGGCAGGGUGGGCAUGGGGGUGGAUGUGUCCUUAGCUGUGGUGAGAGGGCAGCUUUUCUCCCACACACAGCCCUGCAGCUCUGUGCAGGAAAGAUGAGCUGGCCCUGCACUAGCUUCACCUCAGGACACCCCAGCACCGGCAUUGCCACUGAGUUUCGGAAAAUGGUCACAGAAAAGCACAGCUCAGCCUUCCCUAGACUCUAGGGAGAUGUCCCUGAACAGUGGAAGCAGCUCCGGAAUGUAUGUUAAGUGCAGGAAAGGCUAGAACACGCUGCACCCCAGCUUUGUCCUCUUUGUUCUGUCAUUGUGCCAGGGGUCUUUGAGUUGGACCCCUGGCAGCUCCAUUGUGGACCGGAGGGAUUCCUGGCUCUAUAGGGUGGAGGUCCCCCUGAACUGAAGUGAUGAGUGGCAGGACAGCAGGCUUCGGAAUUGGGCGACCUGGGUUGGAAUUCCAGCACUGUCACACCAGGCAGGGGACCUGAGCAGAACAUUCACUGCCAAGAUUACUGGUUGAGUUCCAGAAUAAAUUCUACAGCGGGACCGGUUUCAAGUUCUUACCCUUCUCCUUCGAGCAUAUUCGGGAAGGGAAGUUUGAAGAGUGAGUCCCUGUGAGGGCCGUGUGCCCCAUGCUACCCUCCCCGCCUCCCUCCACAGUGAUCAGCUGUGCCUCUCUGCCUGUUGGUUGUGAUCUUGGGCACCAGCUCAUUCGUGUCACCCUGUCUGUGAGUCAUUUAGAUAGAAUAGUCCUCCUUGGGUCUCCCACCACCCCUAGCUUUGUGUGUAGUGUAGUGAUUUUCUGGCUGUCACUCAAACUCACUGGGCACCAGCCUUGCCCUCUUAGCCUCCAUCCAUCCAGACAGCCCUUCCCACCUCCUGGUGGUGAGCCAGUCUGCAUUCCCACGCCAUCCCAAAGCCCUUUCAUCUUCCCUGUGCAUUGUAGAUGGAAGGAGCACCCAUGCCAUUCACAUCUAGACUUUGAGUUCCCUGCAUCUGCCACCGUAGUUUCUAGCAGGAGUAGUGGGGGGAGUAAUACGGAUUCUUCCCUAGAAGGGGACACUGGUAACAUGUCCCACUCUUGGAUUAGCAGGGGUGGGUCCAGGAAGAUGAUAUUUGCGUCUUUUGCCCACCCCCCUCUCGUGCUUGUUAAUCAGGCAUUCAGCUGGACCCAACUAGGCCAUCAUGAGUGGCUUCUCCCUGUCAUCCCCAGGGGUCAUAGGAUAUCUACACCUCCUUUCUGACCCCACCCUGCACUCCCAUCCUUUCCUCUCUCCCCGUUCAUGCCCUGUACUACAUAGCACAGCCGGGAUGCUUGGAACAGAGGCCUUGGCUGCUCCGCAGUGCACAGGGCUUCCCUCUCUCGGGGUUGGCUUCUUCCCAGGCCUUGCAUGGGCCCUGCCCACAAGCACACCCUCAGGCCGAGGGUGCAGACUGAUGCUCUUCCCUGGUGGAGACCCUGAGAUCUUCCCCACCCCCAAUCAUGAUGUCUUCAAUGUGGGACUGGGGUCCUCUUGGUUCUGCCUGCAGCCUGCCUGGCUCCGCCCCUAGUGCCCCCUCCUCACCACACUGGCCCCAGGUCUCAGGAGGGGUGUCCUGGGCAGGGAAGGUCAGUGUCACUGAUGGUUUGCUGUUUGGAAGCCAUUGGCAGGGCUGCCGUGCAUGUGGCUGUGAGGGCUGCACAGUCCUGCCAAGGGGCUUCCUCCUUGUCACCCCGAACCUUGUAAUCGUGUGCUGGCGUGGCAGCCCUGGCUAAGUUAAUCCCCACCGCUUUCAGUGGUAGAAAGAAUUCCCUGAGUGGGCCAGGCUGGUGCCCUCCUCCUACCCUGGCUUUUCUGAGUGAGCUGCCUGGAGCCCUCAUCCCCUCUCCCAGGCUGGGCUGGCCCUGGGCGGGGCCACUGUGUGCUGGCCCACUGUGACCUGACCCGACCUUGUGCAGCCCCCCUGCCCUGGUGUCCUGGGUUUUCGUGAUGAUCUUUGCUCUGUUUCCAGUGGGGUUUGAAGCAGAGUUCAGGGAACCCUGCCCAAGGUCCUCCUGUUCAGACAUUCCUAUGUUGAAUAAAGUAUGUUUGACUCCCCCA